UAUAAACUCCAGCACGUUACAGUAUACUUACAGGUAUAACAUUAUGUAACAUACAGGCCAUACAUUGUAUAGGUAUCUCUAUAAACUCCAGCACGUUACAGUAUACUUACAGGUAUAACAUUGUGUAACAUACAGGCCAUACAUUGUAUAGGUAUCUCUAUAAACUCCAGCACGUUACAGUAUACUUACAGGUAUAACAUUAU